GCCCGGUUAACUCAAUGGUAGAGUGUCAGGCUUUUAUAUACUAACGUAUAUACAGUGCGGGUUCGACCCCCGCAUCGGGCU
rnacentral:tRNA from 1 species